AACGAACGCUGGCGGCGUGCCUAACACAUGCAAGUCGUGCGAGAAAGUUCCUUCGGGAGCGAGUAAAGCGGCGCACGGGUGAGUAACACGUAGGUAACCUGCCCCCAGUCUGGAACAACUAGAGGAAACUCUAGCUAAUGCCGGAUGAGACCACGAUCCCUUCGGGGGUUGCGGCCAAGAUGGCCUCUACUUGUAAGCUAUCGCUGAGGGAUGGGCCUGCGGGCCAUUAGCUUGUUGGUGAGGUAACGGCUCACCAAGGCUGUGAUGGCUAGCUGGUCUGAGAGGAUGACCAGCCACACUGGGACUGAGACACGGCCCAGACUCCUACGGAGGCAGCAGUGGGGAAUAUUGCGCAAUGGGCGAAAGCCUGACGCAGCGACGCCGCGUGGGUGAUGAAGGCC
rnacentral:rRNA from 1 species